rnacentral:rRNA from 1 species
CUUAGUAACGGCGAGUGAAGCGGUAAAAGCUCAAAUUUGAAAUCUGGUACUUUCAGUGCCCGAGUUGUAAUUUGUAGAAUUUGUCUUUGAUUAGGUCCUUGUCUAUGUUCCUUGGAACAGGACGUCAUAGAGGGUGAGAAUCCCGUUUGGCGAGGAUACCUUUUCUCUGUAAGACUUUUUCGAAGAGUCGAGUUGUUUGGGAAUGCAGCUCAAAGUGGGUGGUAAAUUCCAUCUAAAGCUAAAUAUUGGCGAGAGACCGAUAGCGAACAAGUACAGUGAUGGAAAGAUGAAAAGAACUUUGAAAAGAGAGUGAAAAAGUACGUGAAAUUGUUGAAAGGGAAGGGCAUUUGAUCAGACAUGGUGUUUUUUGCAUGCACUCGCCUCUCGUGGGCUUGGGCCUCUCAAAAAUUUCACUGGGCCAACAUCAAUUCUGGUUUUGGAUAAAUCAUUAACAAUGUAUCUACUUCGUAGUGUU